rnacentral:rRNA from 1 species
UACGUAGGGGGCAAGCGUUGUCCGGAAUCAUUGGGCGUAAAGAGCGUGUAGGCGGCCAGAUAAGUCCGCUGUGAAAUCUCGAGGCUCAACUUCGAGCUGUCGGUGGAAACUGUCUGGCUAGAGUCCGGAAGAGGAGAAUGGAAUUCCUGGUGUAGCGGUGAAAUGCGCAGAUAUCAGGAAGAACACCGACGGCGAAGGCAGUUCUCUGGGACGGUACUGACGCUGAGACGCGAAAGCGUGGGGAGCGAACAGG